CAGCCGCCGCGGUAACACGUAGGGUGCGAGCGUUAAUCGGAAUUACUGGGCGUAAAGCGUGCGCAGGCGGUUGUGUAAGACAGGUGUGAAAUCCCCGGGCUUAACCUGGGAACUGCGCUUGUGACUGCACAGCUAGAGUAUGGCAGAGGGGGAUGGAAUUCCGCGUGUAGCAGUGAAAUGCGUAGAUAUGCGGAGGAACACCGAUGGCGAAGGCAAUCCCCUGGGCCUGCACUGACGCUCAUGCACGAAAGCGUGGGGAGCAAACAGGAUUAGAUACCCCGGUAGUCCCUGUCUCUUAUAC
rnacentral:rRNA from 1 species